GCCUUGCAGGGGGGCUGGAAUAGAUGACCCUUAGGGCUCCCUCCCAUUCUAGGAUGAGGUUCCUUGCUUCCUGCAACCCCCUUUUCCCUGCAACCUCUUCCUCCAGUUUCUGGCCAAGGGAGGGAGCGGAUCACAGACCAACCAAGAGCGUCCCCUCAAAAUGAGCAUCUCUGGGAUUCUGCAACGCAGGAGAGAAAAGGCAGAGAGGACUGAGCAGGGUGGACUCGGCUUUGCAAGGGUUAAAGGGAAAUGAGCUGCAUUCCUAGAGAGGACAGGAAGUAAGAGGGGGCCGGGUCCUCCAGAGGAAAAGCCCCUCCCUCCCCUUCCUGUAAGGGGGGGCGGGUUGCUUUCAGCUAUUGCAAAGGCUGCCUUGCUCUCUUCCAGGGGGAUCUGAGGAGGCCAGCCAAGCAGAUCAAGCCAAGCUUUAUGAGGAGCUGGGUAUGUUGAGUUGGA